CUGAACGCCUCUAAGUCAGAAUCCAUGCCAGAACGCGGUGAUUUUUUCCCACACAUCGUAGUCGGAUACGAAUAGGCCUAUGGCCCUGAAUCUUAGCUGGUUGGCAACGGUCGUGCGGUGAAAGUCCGUACGGCUAGCUGACGUCUUGCAAUUUUACCAUGCGUGGGGUUAAAAACUUUGCAUACGACUUAGACAUAUCACCCGGUGCUGUAAAUAGUAGAGUAGUCUUGUUAUUACGAUCUAUUGAGGCUAAGCCGUGGCGAUUUAUUUUUGAGAGUAAUCUCCCUAAAGACAUGCCUGAUUCAGGCGGUCUUAAGGGGGGGGUGCGCGACAGGAGGGGUUUGUUGGCUGAGGGGCAGUGAUCUGAGGGUAGGCCAGGUGUGUGAGAACAGGGACUUGAGAGAGAGGCCUCUACACUGCGAGACAAAGGACCGGCAUAAAAAUGACUUCGCCGCUCGGGGGUGUUACAGUGGGCGAACCACUGAAGGGGGACGCGGAGGGGUACUACAGAGGACAGCUACAGUGGACCGCCCACUGAAGGAGGUCCCGGUAGGGGCCACACUGGACCUACCUUUGGAUCUGCCUUGGGGGGCUACUAUAGUGGGUGCUACAGUGGGCAGUCCACUGAAGCAGGUGCCUGUAGGAGGCGGGGUCACAAUCGACCUACCCUCGGAUUGAAAUGACUUGGGGGAAAAAACCUGGCCGCACACCUUGCCUACCCUCGGAUCCGUCCUAGGGACUGGCUAUAGUGGGCGUUACAGUGGACGACUCACUGAAGGGGGGGCCUGGGGAAGGUCAUAGUGGACAGCUACAGUGGACCACUCACUAGAGGAGGUGCCUGUAGCAGGCUGGGUCACGGUCGACCUACCCUGUGAUCUAUCCUAGGGGACCGCUACAGUGGACGACUCACUGAAGGACGUCCGUAGGGGGCGGGGCCACAAUUGACCUACCCUCGGAUCGAAUUGACUUGGACAAAAAACCUGGGCUCACAUUUCGCCUACCCUCAGAUCUGCUCCAGGGGGCAGCUUCAGUGGGCGUUACAGUGGGCAGCCCACUGAAAGGGGGCCCUGAGGAAACUUUCAGUGGACAGCUACAGUGGACUACUCACUGGAGGAGGUCCCUGUAAAAACUUGGGCUCACAUUUGACCUACCCUGUGAUCCAUGUUGGGGGGCUGCUACAGUGGGUCUUACAGUGGCCAGUCCACUGAAGGGGGACGCUGGCGGGUGCUACAGUGGACAGCUACAGUGGACCGGUCACUGUAGCAGGUGCCUGUGGGGGGCGGGUCACAAUUGGCCUACCCUGUGAUCCAUCCCAGGGGUAAGCUUCAGUGGGCGUUACAGUGAGGGGUCCACUAAACGGGGGCGCUGUAGAAAGUUACAGGGGACAGCUUACUGAAGGGGGUGCCUGGAAAAACUUGGUCGCACAUUUGACCUACCCUCGGAUCCUUCUUGGAGUGCAGCUCCAGGGGGUCCUACAGUGAUCUAACCACUGAAGGGAGGCGCUACGGUGGACGGUUCACUGUAGCCGGUGCCUGUAGCAGGCGGGUCACAGUUGGCCUACCCGGUGAUCCAUCCUAGGGGACGGCUACAGCGGGCGUUACAGUGGACGUCCCACUGAACAGGGACGCGGGAGAAAUUUUCAGGGGGCGGCUACAGUGGACUACCCACUGAAGGGACUGCCUGUAGAAAGUGGGGUCACACUUGAUCUACCCUUGGAUCCACCCUAGGGAGGUGCUUCAGUGGGCGCUACAGUGGAUGGUCCACUGGGCGAGGGCGCUAUAAAAGAUUUUAGUAGACGACUAUAGUAGACCGCUCACUGUAGCAGGUGCCUGUGGGAGGUGAGGUUCACACUUGACCUACCCUCGGAUCUCCUCCUGGAGAGAAAUUCUUCUAAGGUCGUCGAUCCGCGGAUUUGCACCAAACAUUUUGGUGAGGGGGGGGGGUCUCAAAGUUUUUGCACACAAAACGUUUUUCGGAACCCCCAAAUCCUGCCAGAGGCAUUUGCACACAGAUUUUAAGGCCAAAGGAAGUCGGUGGGUAUAUAAGGGGAGGUGUCCUGAGUGGGUCGGGGGGCCUAAGGGAGAUAGUGCUGGGUGAUUCUAGCGUGUCCCUCGGGGUGAUAGGUCGGUGUCCAGUGGUCAUAGGCGUGGGUCGGGGACUGAUUCUUAGAGGUUUUGGGGGUACCUAGGCAUGGAGGCCCCCGCUAUCGGGCGUGGGUUGUAGGCUAUCUGUCCGCUAGGGGUCCGCUGGGGGCGGCUGCGAGGGGGUGCGAGGGGCGAGGGGCUAGGACUUCAGGGGGGCUCGUGGCUAGCUGGGGCCACGGAUCGUGAUACGUGCAGGCCUAUCGAGGGGCUCGUGGGGAGCUGGGGGAACCCCUUUCCCGGGGCUGGCCUUCUCUGAGGGCCAAGCGCGGGGGGGGACGAGGGCCAGGCCGCCCUUGCCGUCACGGCAGAAGGCCCGCGGAGGGGCAGGGCCUCUGGGAGAGGGGAGAGGGGAGAGGGGAUCGCCGGGUAGGCCAGGUGUGCGGGGCGGCGGCCUCAGACGGAUUUUCCCUCCCCCUUUUCUCCUUGUUCCUGUUUGCCCUCUGCACGGCAGCGUCACCGGGGCUUUCCAGGCACUUUCAGCGGGCUCGGGCGCUGGGGUUAGGCUCUGGAGGCCCUUGGGGUUAGCGCUGGGGGCGUUGGGGUUAGGGUUAUGGUGGGGAGGAUCGCAGGGUAGGUCAAGUGUGUAGGGUUAGGUUACAGGGGACUUGACGCUGUAGAGCCUGUAAGUUAUAGGGGGGAGAGCCCUAUAAGACGCUGUAACUUCCAGGGGCGGUAGGGCAGGUAGGAUCCGAGGGUAGGCCUGGUGUGAUCCAAGGGUAGGUGAGGUGUGAUCCAAGGGUAGAUGGGAUGUGGAUGCGAGGGUAGGCGAGGUGUGAGAGGGGGACUUGGGGGAGGCUCCAGGCUGUAGAAGCCUAGGUGGGCACCCCUAAGGGGGUCCUUACAGCGAUGUGAGGCCCUGGAGCCCCCCUGGGGUGGUCGCUGGAGAAGUGAGAGGGGAUCCAAGGGUAGGUCAGGUGUGUGGGGGGGGGGGGGUGUGUGGAGAGUGAUUCCGAGGGUAGGUCAAGUGUGAGGAGAUGAUCUUAUCCUCUUCCCGACCCCCUUUCGACACGUUCCCAUGCCCUCCCGACCAUAUUAAGGGCGCUGAUUCCAACACCGUUGCCCGCUUGUCCGUAGGGGCUCGGGUUCGCCCGCAACCCGACCUCGCCCUAGGGCAGUGAGCCCUACAGCGUUCGAUAGCCCUGCUGAUUUCCGUUAGGGUCACUCUUCAGGCUUCGAUACGCUGGAGGAGACCCCUAUCAACUUGGUCGGGGGACUUUACAGAGGGACCCCCCCCCCCCCCCUCCGAUUUUCUUUUUUGGAUCUUGCAAAAUGGUCAGAACCUCUAUUCAAGUUGCACCCAUUUCUCCCCAACUGAAAGUAACUUUUCCAGUCCGGCAGAUAUUUGAGGGUAGCGACCGCAGGAAAGGUGCUUCCCGGCUCGGGGAAUCCAACGCCGCAGCCCGUUUGGCCGUAGCUGGGAGGGGGCCCGAGAUAUUGAAUUUAUCGGCAAAGUAUUUGGGACCCCCCCCCCUCUCAAACCUUUCCCCGGCGGCUCUGGGACCGGUCCCCGUGCCCCCCCGACUAUAUCGAGGGCGCUGAUUCCAACGCCGUUGCCCGCUUGUCCGUAGGGGCUCGGAUUCGCCCGGAACCCGACCUCGUCCCUGGGGAGUGGGACCUACAGCGGUCGACAGCCCUGCCGAUUUCCGUUAGGGUCACUCUUCAGGGUACCCCCCUCACUGGAGUCGACCGCCGGAAAAAAAACUACAGGGUGCGAGUGCCCUGGAAGGGGGGAGGUGCGGCGGUGCGGGUGCGGAUCGCGAAUCUUUCUAAGGUCGUCGAUCCGCGGAUUUGCACCAAAUCUUUUGGUGAGGGGGGGGGGGGUUUCAAAUUUUUUGCACACAAAACGUUUUUCGGAACACCCAAAUUUUGGCAAAGUCAUUUGCACACAAAUUUUAAGGCCAAAGGAAGUCGGUGGGUAUAUGAAGGGAGCAGACUGGAGUCAAAUCGAAUAAAUCUCACAGUGGGUUACGGCGGUCUAACAACUAACGUGACACACUGGGAGUACCUUUAAUUAGGUACGGUGACCACUGCGAAGGUUCUGUCUCCUUUUUGCGGGCUAUUACUUCAGUGAUACAUACGCUACAACAUGCCUAGCAUGGGCGCCUUAACCAGGUCGAAGUCGCUAUUUGCUUGAUUUCCCUGGGGCGCGCGGUAACCAACCCGUUGUACCAUAUUUGCCAGACUCCAUCUAUUUCCGGUUAGCACUCAGGCAGCGUGGGGGCCCAGACCUAGCCGGCAAAGUGGAGUCGCCUGUGGAAGCAGUCACCUGUCACGUAAAACUCUCAGGCCUGUGGAAGCGCCAAACGUCGCAUCGGCCUCGGUCGGUGCGCGCGGUUGGGGUCUGUGGAUUAAUGGCCGAUGGCCUAUCCUAAUUCUUAAGACACACUCGGGGGUAAGCCUGAGCAGGUAGCCGUCCCCGGACGUGACCUGCGAACGGUAUCCUCCUCCUGCGGGACACAUGUUACACGCUGCGACGGUGCCUGGCACUCGAGCUUUAGUGUAGCGGACUGCCCUGUGGGGAACUCAGUGGGGGCAAUUGGAUGGCGCGCGAGCCCUGUGAGCCUUGCUCCGGGGUGCUGCGCGCUGCGGUGCAAACCGCCUUCUCAGUGCAACAACUCUGCCUCCUUCGGGGGGUCGCGUUCGGCUCCGGUCGUCCGCUCAAGAUAGUUACCUGGUUGAUUCUGCCAGUAGUCAUAUGCUUGUCUC
rnacentral:misc_RNA from 1 species